rnacentral:rRNA from 1 species
UACGGAGGUCCCAAGCGUUGUUCGGAUUUAUUGGGCGUAAAGGGUGCGUAGGCGGCGCGGUAAGUCGGGUGUGAAAUCUCGGAGCUUAACUCCGAAACUGCAUUCGAUACUGCCGUGCUGGAGGACUGGAGAGGAGACUGGAAUUUACGGUGUAGCGGUGAAAUGCGUAGAUAUCGUAAGGAAGACCAGUGGCGAAGGCGGGUCUCUGGACAGUUCCUGACGCUGAGGCACGAAGGCCAGGGGAGCAAACGGG